GAUGAACGCUGGCGGCGUGCCUAAUACAUGCAAGUCGAGCGAACAGACGAGGAGCUUGCUCCUCUGACGUUAGCGGCGGACGGGUGAGUAACACGUGGAUAACCUCCCUAUAAGACUGGGAUAACUUCGGGAAACCGGAGCUAAUACCGGAUAAUAUAUUGAACCGCAUGGUUCAAUAGUGAAAGACGGUUUUGCUGUCACUUAUAGAUGGAUCCGCGCCGCAUUAGCUAGUUGGUAAGGUAACGGCUUACCAAGGCAACGAUGCGUAGCCGACCUGAGAGGGUGAUCGGCCACACUGGAACUGAGACACGGUCCAGACUCCUACGGGAGGCAGCAGUAGGGAAUCUUCCGCAAUGGGCGAAAGCCUGACGGAGCAACGCCGCGUGAGUGAUGAAGGUCUUCGGAUCGUAAAACUCUGUUAUUAGGGAAGAACAAAUGUGUAAGUAACUAUGCACGUCUUGACGGUACCUGAUCAGAAAGCCACGGCUAACUACGUG
rnacentral:rRNA from 1 species